GGCUCUGGGGCUGUGGCAGAGGGGACGGGGUGAUGGUCUGUGCUGGGUCCAGCUCCUCUCUCCCCCCUGCUCCUCAGUGGUAAACAACUGAGGCUCUUCUCACCCAGAGAAAAUGAGGUUUUUCUGGGUAAAGGUUCAGGCUGGGGCAGUUCUGCUCGGUCCUUGAUUUCACCGCUCUGAAGGUUAAAAAGAGGGAAGCAGCUGUUCCCACGCCUCAGCGGCACAAACACCUCGAGCCUUCAAACGCUCCUGAGAGGAAUCAGUGGGACAGCAUCGAGGGAGCGCUUGGGCUGCUGCCAAAAUUACGCCAGCAGCAAGCCUCGAACGGAGCCUCUUAUCUGGGGAAUCUCGGAGCUCUCUGGAGCUGUUUCGCAAGGCAUGUGUCACAGACAGGUACCCUGGGACACGGAAAGGGGAAAAGCAUUUGCCUGGGCAGGAAGGCAGCUGCGUCACCGCCAGGAAUAGCACCCCGGCAUCCCGUGACCCAGCAAUGCUGCUCAAAAAUGAGAUAACGCUUCCAGUGCCAGCCGAGCAGCCUGGGGACAGCAGGACAGCAGCGCACGGACCCCCGUGAGUGCUGCUUGUGGGGCGAGCAGUGCGCUCCAGCACGGGGCAGAAAAGCUCUUCCUCGAUGUGCAAAACACCUAUUGGAGCCAAAGGACAGAAUAAUCCCAGAGUUGAUGGAGCUCGAGUGUGAUUUGCCGCUCGUUGGUUCACGCUCCACUGUCCCCGUGGUGGCAUCUGCCGCCCCAGACUCUCUAAGUGCGUCUCACACUUUCCCCGCAGCGUUCUCGGUUUCUGGGGUGUAAGACUUCGAGCCUUGGACAACAGCAGAACCAGUCAAUUACGUUUUCACCCUGUCGGCCUUGAAAGCCCCGGAGUGCUCCUGGUGCGGCCACAGCCAGGGGAACGCGGGAGCUCACGAUAAAUUCCAAACAAAAGCACCAUUAUCCAUAUGGGACCUCGUGAGUGCUUCACAUACUCCAGCAAUUCCAAGCACUCCGUGUACGGUUCUUACUCGGUCUUAACUCGAUUUCUUUGAGAUGCAAAUCAGAGGGAUUAUAUUCAGAGGCUGCAUCAGAAAGUCUUUAAUCCAAAUGGGCUAUAAGAUUUAUUUAGGAGAGCCAAAUGUCUUGUCUGGGACAGAAGCAACUGAGCUGAACUGAAACAGAUGGACAUAAAGGAAAUUAAGCAACUCUAAUGGUCUCAUCCAGAGUUUGAAAGUAUUUGGUCUUCCUAAAGCUCGAGCUCCUGGAAGCACGUGGUGAGAGGGGAAGCUCAGGUUUCACUUAAAAACAGGCUUUGCAGUCCACUGAGAAAAACAAUAACCAUGUUUUUAUUCCUCCUGUGGACAGAACGAGGGCUGCCUUCCAAAUCCUGACUCCUUGGGCUUGUGUCGUCAGAGGAAAGUAUAUUGAAUGGGACUUCUGGAGUCCCCAUUUCUACAGCAAUGUCAUCAUUUCAGCAGCCUGGAUUCAGGAUUUUGGGAAACCUGAUGCUGGCAAUAGGGACCCCAAGUAGUUUGUUUAGUAAAACAGGGAAAACUCAUCCCUUGAGUCUCAUGAGGGUUUGUUUCUUGAAAUGUUCUGCUGUUUCUGGUGGUGAUUUUUAGGUCUCGCCUAUGGCUGGGGUUUAACCAGGACACCAGCACUGCCAAGGUCACCUCCAGCAGUGCUGGAUGCUGCAAACCCAGAGUGCACCUCUUGGAUGCUGAUAAACCACUGGGCUGGAAACCUGGACAGCUCAGGCUGUCCCCCAGGAUCCCACGUGUCUCCUCCUCUGCUGAGGUCAGGAGAUUUUCACUGCAUUCCCUGGAAUGUUUGGCCCUGGAUAGUCUGCACAGGCAGCAGAACAGAUUUGAGGACACACUCCCUGCCAUCCCAUCAGGGCAUUUCUGGUGGUAAAGGUGGUUUCUCCUGGGGAGAAAAGUUGAGGUUUCUGUUGGUUCUACCACCUGCAGCUUUUAGGUGAUAAAUAGCAACAAGGCUGAAUUCUUUAUGCUUCCUGAGGCUCUUGACCACUGCCUAGUGGUCAAGGAGAUCCCACAGACAGUCUUGACCAGGGAAAUGCUUUUGCAGCUGAAACUCCGGAUAAAAACUGAGGGAAGUCUUUCUAGUCUCAACCCAAAGCCAUCCCCUGCUUGGUUCUCCCAGGGAAGCAUCCAAAGCAGGAUCAUUUCAUGUGUUUGUGCAUUUACCAUCCUUCACCCUGCUGCAUUUGCAAGGGGGUUAAAUAAAAGGUGAGAGAAUUGGGGACAAGGAGAGAGAGGGAGUGUGAGAAGGAGCCCAUCCAUUACCCACAACGCAGGAGGUCUUGGCCUCCUGGUUUGAGUGCUUAUUCCCCAUAAAAUACAUCUGAGAGAAAUCAAUACAAGAAGCAUGCCAGAACUUAAAUCAAAGCACAAGGAAACAGCUCUUGGCGGAUGGAGCGACCUUGCAGAGAGCUGUCAAAACCAAGGCCCCAGCCCUGUUGGGCACAGAACCUGCCAGGAAAAAAACCCUGGAGUGAGGACUUGAGGCUGGCAUGUGCUGCCUUGGCAUGGCUUUCACUCUGAUCUCCACAGUGGAAAGCACAUGGGUGAGAGAGGUUGUUGUGAGCCGGAUAAACGGCACCAGGGCAAAGUGCCAGCAGGCUCCUGGGGCAGCCAGGAGAGCUGAUGUGCUCUGUGCUGCCCCUUUGGGCUCCUCAGGUACCUCAGAAAUAACGAGGCAGGGGUGGAAGCCAGCUUGGAGAUACGGAAAAUGCUCCCCACAACCUUGGCCGUGCGUGACCUCGGUCCCUGGGGUCCCAGAGCAGGCGUCCAGCUCCACCAGCUCCGUGCCCUGCAGAGCUCAGCAGAGGAUGGAGGGCUGUGUCCAGCAUCCAGGUCCCCUCCUGCCUCCCACUGGGAUCAGCCACCUCCCCAGGCAGGUGCCUGACCUUGGUGGCAGGUCGCAGCGCCGUGCCACAGACACCAUAAAUCUGCAAAGGUUUGCUGCAGCCAGGCUCCACCUCUGCAGACCGCGGGGCACAUGUUCCCGUGCUGGGAAAUCUGACCCCUCGGUAGCCUGAGAGACAGGAGAAGCCUGGGUUUGGUGUUUUGAAUAAGUGGCUUUUUAUCUGAAAUCCCUUUGGGAGCAUGAGCUCAGUAACCAAUGAAAUUAUAUCUGUUGUUUCAAGCAGUGAAGAAAACUUGGCUUGAUGUUUAUUGAGAUUUAUGGCUUCCCUUGAGCUUAAUUGUCUUUGGGAGCCCUGGAUCUUUUUAACGGUUCAGCUAAGUGGUACUAAGAAGGAUGGUAAUGGUUUGAGCAGUCUGCCCCCUUAGCAUAUCUCUUUCUCUCACACAAUUUGCUGAUAUUUGGGAAACACAGCUGAUACCCUUCCCUCCUGAGGUCACAGCUCUUCACUGGUGUGAAACUUCAAGAGACUAAACCAGGUGUGAAAAGCUCCCAGUGAGUGUUUGCUCGGUGAGGUGCUGACUUCCAUCAGCAGGGCUGUUCUUCGGGGAGCAGGGGAGGAGGAGGAGGACAGGUCUGUGCCCCCGCUGGGGAGGGUCACCUGGUCCCCCUGCUUUGUCACCCCCUCCUGGAUGCUGGUAUUUAUCUUCCUUGAUCUUCCUGGUCUCCGUUAACCUGGUGGUUUGGUGUAGACGCUUCUCUGGUCCUCGGCCGUGAUGGCUUUUGCAUUCCCUCUGCUGGGAGCUCUGGGCUGACUGCAGUUUAAGCUGCUCCUACCUAAACACAGCCCAGCAUCAUUUCCUGAGCAUCCAACAGCUCAUCCACAGGUGACCACCGGGGUUGGGAUCGACCUUUGGAACUGCCAUAAGGAGAGCACCCCUCCUUUCUGCUCCUUGCGCUGGUUUGAACCGGGAAGGGACCAUCUGGGCUGCAGGGAAGGAUUCUCCUGCCCAGUUCUCACCCCGCAGAGACACAACUCGGUGCUGCCCAGCUGCAGUUGGUCCCUCAGCAGAGAAUCCCCAGCUCUGGAGGGCUCUGAUGAGGAGCUUGUCAUUGGGAGGGAAGCAUUGCCCUUCACACGUCAUUAUUCCUUGCUUCUGGAGCUUUUUCAUCCCUCAUCGGGGUGACCCUGAUGGUUUGUUAUCUCUCCCCAGCCAUCCACCAGAGCCUGUCAGCGUGGGGAAUGACCUUCACCUAUUUCCUCGCCUCCCUGAGAUGCUGCGGUCACUCGGCCGGGCACUCCUGGCGGUGCUGUCCGGCCGCGGGGAUGAUGUGGCCGAGGUAAUUACAACAGCUCGUUAUGGUUCAGCAGGCGCCUUCAUUAAUAAACCUCAGGUUUCAGAAGUGCCUAACUCGGCCAUUGGAAACCACAGCUGGCUGGAGCUCUGCAGCGUGUCUAAGCUUUCAGCUCAUCUCCCCUGCCUAAGCGGUUUAGGACGGGCAGUAAACAAAGUCUGUUUUGUUGGGUUUUGCGUGCUUUAAGGCAAAGAAAGCGAACACGCUGGGCUAAUCUCCUCUGCGCAGAGCUGGGGGCUGACAGCUCCUGCCUAGGUCACGCCAGUGGGAUUUUUAUCUCAGCUGCGACUCGAGCAAGGAGCGCGCGGAUGUUCUGCCUCCCCUGCGUGCGCGGUGCUGGCCCGUGGCGCUCAUCAGGGUGUCGUUACUCCCUUGUGGCACCUCUAAAUUAAAUGGAGUUUAGAUGAUC